CAGAUUUAGCUAACAUGUACUUCUUGAAUCAAAGUACCAAGAGAAGAAAAAAGCUACCACUCUUUAUGCUGUUUUAUUAAGUCCUAUAAGCUAAAGGCAUUUAAGGCAUCAAGUAUUAGAAACAUAUUCCACAAUACCGCUAUAUACGUAGAGAAAAAAAAAAUCAAAAAUAAUGUAACCAUUUAUAAACCAGUUAAUUUACCGUCUGGAUGCAUUUUAUAUAAUGCAUCAGUUGAUAAUCAUCCAUUUAUCAAUCUAUUGUUUUGAAUCUUAACGUUGCAACAAGAUGAUCUUAGGAAUGUUGUUUCCGAGAUUUGGUAUUUCAGACCCAAUUUUAGUUUGUUGCUAAUCAAUUUAUCUUUCAGUGCAGCUUGCCACCAAUUACAGUUAUGACGACGUCCAGAUGAGCGUCACCUUAAGGAUGGCAGGACUUGAAAAGGCGGAUUGGAAUUGUGAAGCAUUCUCUAAGAUGAUUAACCUGAAAUUUCUUGAAGUUGAUAAUGUGAUCAUUUCCUCAAUCCCCAGAAUUCUUCCUAAUUGCUUAAGAAUUAUGAAAUGGAAUUGUUUUCCUUCCAGAUUUCUCCCAUCCAAUUUUCAACCGAACAAACUUGUUUUGCGGGACAACAAACUAGUUCGGCUCUGGGAUGAAAGAAUUGUAAGAUUGCUGACCAUAUGCCAUCUUACGAAUUUUUUGAAAAACUAACUAAAAGUUUAAGUUUUUCGGUUGCUAAUUAUAUAUUCUACUAUUUUUCAUGUAAUAUUGUACAGGACUUGCCCAAUUUGAAAUACAUAGACCUUAAAGGCUCUCGAAACUUGGCAACAACCCCAAAUUUCACUAGCAUUCCAAAACUCCAGGUGUUGGAUCUUGAAGGGUGUGAGAAUUUAGUUGAGAUUCACCCGUCCAUUGCAUUUCUCAAAUGGCUUACAGAUUUAAUUCUAAGUGGAUGCAAAAGUGUUAAGAGUCUUCCAAGGGAGGUAGAAAUGGAUUCUCUUAUAUAUUUCGGUGCUGAGGGUUGCUCAAAUUGCUAAAUUUUUGCGACCUCUGUUAAAAAAACGCCGCCUCCUCAAAUGUCUGCACAUAAAUACUUGAAAGGUUAAUGACAGUCUUCUCACAAUUGAUAUUAGUAAGUUCCCAUCACUAUCUUUUCUAGCCAUACAUUUACCAUUAGAUUCAUCACUUAUUGUUUCGUGGAUGACAAUUCCUCUCUCUCUCUCUCUUCAUGUGCGUUUGUCAUGAAUGCAUUUCUGUUUAAACUACUGCAGAGCAUUAAUCAACUCAUGUAGUAUAUACAUGUUUGCAAGAGCUGCAUAUUUUAUGCAUUUGAACGAAGUAUAUGUUUCCAAAUAGUCAACUCAAAUUUGGGGUCUUGAUCCUGGAUUUGAAGUUGAUCAAAAGUUGUUGCGUGCUUAUUGGCCAAGUUCGCAUGAAAUUUGCACUUCAAGAGAGCUACGAGCUCAUUAGACCUAGUUUUCUUAUAUUGGUUUGAUUCUUAUUCACACAACUUACGUGACUAUUUCAACUGCUCUAUUCUGUUGUGUGCAGGAUGGAAUAAGCCAACAAUAAUUUUCAAUCAGAAUCUUAGCAUUGAGAAUUGAUCGUAUCUGAAACCGAUCAAUUGCUUUGUCAGGAUUCCUACCUUGUCUGCUUCACUUAAUCUCCUUGAUAGUUUGUGCAAUCUCCUUCAAUUAUGCAGUCUUCUCUUAUUUAGCAUAUAUGAGUUUUAAAUUACCUCACGUAACAGACUGGAAUUCUGAGAGGUUCAUUAAACCGUCGUAUAAGUGAGCGUCGUUUGAGACGACAAUUUUUCACCGCGGUCAAUAUGUUCAGUAGAAUUGGGCAGUGCUAGUUGUAUCUUGAAAUAAACAAACUAUAAUAACUUUUUUUAUUAAAAUAUUUGGAGAACUGGAAUUAUGAGGUACCACAUGAUUUAUGAAUGAGUAGUAGGUGUCAAUCUAGUCAAAAUGUAUGUACUCACAUUUCCACGAAAGCAGAGGAUGACAUUUUCACGCUAGGGAAAUCAUUCUGUAGCUAUAAGAAGACUGACAUUACAACAUAUGCUAUAAUGUAUAUUAAAGUCACAAAAAAUUUAGAUGUCUAUAGAUACUUUCUUAAAAGGAAUGUCCUAAUGUGCUAACGCGCCUUAUAUUAUUUGGUAAAGCAACCUUUCGCCUUUAUUGAUAUGAAAUAAAACAAGCUCACGUAGGGAUAUGGAUGAAGGCUAAAAGGCAGUAUGCAACAAACACAACCCAAUUAAGCACAACUAAGGGCCGAACAAACCUCCAAUGUAAUUCAAACUAGAAGUAAUGGAUCCAAAAGUUGACAGUGAUUUUAAUGCCAUUGUCAUACAUAUACAAUUAAGAACGAAAAUCGAGAUCCAAGUAGGAUUGUAACGUAGAAGAGCAUAAAACUUCAAACAUUCAAGAUUGAGGCAGAUUUAGCUAACAUGUACUUCUUGAAUCAAAGUACCAAGAUAAGAAAAAAGCUAGCACUCUUUAUGCUGGUUUAUUAAGUCCUAUAAGCUAAAGGCAUUUAAGGCGUCAAGUAGUAGAAACACAUUCCACAAUACCACUAUGUACAUAGAAAAAAAAAAUUUGAAAAAUAAUGUAACUAUUUAUAAACCAGUUAAUUUACCGUCUGGAUGCAUUUUAUAUAAUGCAUCGGUUGAUAAUCACCCAUUUAUCUAUCUAUUGUUUUGAAUCUUA
rnacentral:lncRNA from 1 species